rnacentral:rRNA from 1 species
UACGUAGGGUGCGAGCGUUGUCCGGAAUUAUUGGGCGUAAAGAGCUCGUAGGCGGUCUGUCGCGUCGAAUGUGAAAACCUGGGGCUCAACUCCAGGCUUGCGGGCGAUACGGGCAGGCUAGAGUUCGGUAGGGGAGACUGGAAUUCCUGGUGUAGCGGUGAAAUGCGCAGAUAUCAGGAGGAACACCGGUGGCGAAGGCGGGUCUCUGGGCCGAUACUGACGCUGAGGAGCGAAAGCGUGGGGAGCGAACAGG